rnacentral:rRNA from 1 species
CGUGCCACUGUGCACACAGUCAGCCACGGCUUAGCUUGCAUGCUGGGUGGUGAGUGGCGAACGGGUGAGUAAUACAUCUGGAACAUGUCCUGUUGUGGGGGAUAGCCCGGCGAUAAGCCGGAUUAAUACCGCAUACCAUCUACGGAUGAAAGCGGGGGACCUUCGGGCCUCGCGCUAUAGGGUUGGCGCGAUGGCUGAUUAGCUAGUUGGUGGGGUAAAGGCCUACCAAGGCGACGAUCAGUAGCUGGUCUGAGAGGACGACCAGCCACACUGGGACUGAGACACGGCCCAGACUCCUACGGGAGGCAGCAGUGGGGAAUUUUGGACAAUGGGCGAAAGCCUGAUCCAGCAAUGCCGCGUGUGUGAAGAAGGCCUUCGGGUUGUAAAGCACUUUUGUCCGGAAAGAAAUCCUUGGCUCUAAUACAGUCGGGGGAUGACGGUACCGGAAGAAUAAGCACCGGCUAACUACGUGCCAGCAGCCGCGGUAAUACGUAGGGUGCAAGCGUUAAUCGGAAUUACUGGGCGUAAAGCGUGCGCAGGCGGUUUGCUAAGACCGAUGUGAAAUCCCCGGGCUCAACCUGGGAACUGCAUUGGUGACUGGCAGGCUAGAGUAUGGGCGAGGGCGGUAGAAUUCCACGUGUAGCAGUGAAAUGCGUAGAGAUGUGGAGGAAUACCGAUGGCGAAGGCAGCCCCCUGGGCCAAUACUGACGCUCAUGCACGAAAGCGUGGGGAGCAAACAGGAUUAGAUACCCUGGUAGUCGACGCCCUAAACGAUGUCAACUAGUUGUUGCGGGAUUCAUUUCCUUAGUAACGUAGCUAACGCGUGAAGUUGACCGCCUGGGGAGUACGGUCGCAAGAUUAAAACUCAAAGGAAUUGACGGGGACCCGCACAAGCGGUGGAUGAUGUGGAUUAAUUCGAUGCAACGCGAAAAACCUUACCUACCCUUGACAUGGUCGGAAUCCUGCUGAGAGGCGGGAGUGCUCGAUAAGAGAACCGGCGCACAGGUGCUGCAUGGCUGUCGUCAGCUCGUGUCGUGAGUAUGUUGGGUUAAGUCCCGCAACGAGCGCAACCCUUGUCCUUAGUUGCUACGCAAGAGCACUCUAAGGAGACUGCCGGUGACAAACCGGAGGAAGGUGGGGAUGACGUCAAGUCCUCAUGGCCCUUAUGGGUAGGGCUUCACACGCUGAUACAAUCGGUCGGAACAGAGGGUUGCCAACCCGCGACUGGGAGC